UACGUAGGGCGCAAGCGUUAAUCGGAAUUACUGGGCGUAAAGCGUGCGCAGGCGGUGAUGUAAGACAGUUGUGAAAUCCCCGGGCUCAACCUGGGAACUGCAUCUGUGACUGCAUCGCUGGAGUGCGGCAGAGGGGGAUGGAAUUCCGCGUGUAGCAGUGAAAUGCGUAGAUAUGCGGAGGAACACCGAUGGCGAAGGCAGCCCCCUGGGAUAACACUGACGCCUCGAUGCACGAAAGCGUGGGGAGCGAAACAAGAUUAUGAAAC
rnacentral:rRNA from 1 species